AGCAGCCGCGGUAAUUCCAGCUCCAAUAGCGUAUAUUAAAGUUGUUGCAGUUAAAAAGCUCGUAGUUGAAUUUCGGGAUCAAAUUGUCGGUCGUGCCUCGGUACGCACUGGUAUUAUUGGUUCCUACCUUCUGAAGAACCGCGAUGUCAUUAAUUUGGUGUCGUGGGGAAUCAGGACUGUUACUUUGAAAAAAUUAGAGUGUUUAAAGCAGGCUUACGCUUGAAUACAUUAGCAUGGAAUAAUGAAAUAGGACGUUUGAUUCUAUUUUGUUGGUUUCUAGGAUCGACGUAAUGAUUAAUAGGGAUAGUUGGGGGCAUUAGUAUUCAAUUGUCAGAGGUGAAAUUCUUGGAUUUAUUGAAGACUAACUACUGCGAAAGCAUUUGCCAAGGAUGUUUUCAUUAAUCAAGAACGAAAGUUAGGGGAUCGAAGACGAUCAGAUACCGUCGUAGU
rnacentral:rRNA from 1 species